UGAGCAAUCUGCCCUUCUCUUCGGAAUAAGCGUUGGAAACGACGUCUAAUGCCGAAUAUGACCUCCUUUCGCAUGAUCGGAGGUGGAAAGCUCCGGCGGAGAAGGAUGAGCUCGCGGCCUAUCAGCUAGUUGGUGUGGUAAUGGCCCACCAAGGCGACGACGGGUAGCCGGCCUGAGAGGGUGACCGGCCACGACGGGGACUGAGACGACGGCCCAGACUCCGUACGGGA
rnacentral:rRNA from 1 species